rnacentral:rRNA from 1 species
UGGGGAAUUUUGGACAAUGGGCGCAAGCCUGAUCCAGCCAUGCCGCGUGCGGGAAGAAGGCCUUCGGGUCGUAAACCGCUUUUGUCAGGGAAGAAACGAGUUUCUCUAAUACAGAGACUUAAUGACGGUACCUGAAGAAUAAGCACCGGCUAACUACGUGCCAGCAGCCGCGGUAAUACGUAGGGUGCAAGCGUUAAUCGGAAUUACUGGGCGUAAAGCGUGCGCAGGCGGUUAUGCAAGACAGAUGUGAAAUCCCCGGGCUCAACCUGGGAACUGCAUUUGUGACUGCAUAGCUGGAGUGCGGCAGAGGGGGAUGGAAUUCCGCGUGUAGCAGUGAAAUGCGUAGAUAUGCGGAGGAACACCGAUGGCGAAGGCAAUCCCCUGGGCCUGCACUGACGCUCAUGCACGAAAGCGUGGGGAGCAAACA